rnacentral:rRNA from 1 species
CCCUUAGAUGUUCUGGGCUGCACGCGCGCUACACUGAAGCGUUCAACGAGUAUUCACCUUGCCCGGGAGGGUUGGGUAAUCUUUUCAAAACGCUUCGUGAUGGGGAUAGAUUAUUGCAAUUAUUAAUCUUCAACGAGGAAUUCCUAGUAAGCGCGAGUCAUCAGCUCGCGCUGAUUACGUCCCUGCCCUUUGUACACACCGCCCGUCGCUACUACCGAUUGGAUGGUUUAGCGAGAACUUUGGACCGGAGCUCGGGUGGUCAGCAAUGGCCGCCCGAGACAUACUGGGAAAUCGCUCCAGCUUGAUCAUCUAGAGGAAGUAAAAGUCGUAACA